GAUGAACGCUGGCGGCGUGCCUAAUACAUGCAAGUCGAGCGGACGGACGAGAAUCUUGCGUCGCUGAUGUUAGCGGCGGACGGGUGAGUAACACGUGUAUAACCUACCUAUAUGACGGGGAUAACUUCGGGAAACCGGAGCUAAUACCGUAUAAUAUCUUGAACCGCGGGGGUCAAAGGUAAGAUACGGCGUUGCUGUCUCGACUAGAGGCAUCCGCGCUGUUUUAGCGAGUUGGUAAGGUAACGGCUUUCCAAGGCAACGAUGCGUAACCGAGCUGAGAGGGUGGUAGGCGACACUGGAAGGUAGACGCGGUCCAGGCUCCUACGAGAGGCACCAGUCGGGAAUGGGAGGCAACGGGCGAAAACAUGACGGAGCGACGGCGCGUGUGUGGUGACGGUCCCCGGAUCGGGAUGAUCGGUUUUUGGGGAAAAACAUAUGUGUAAGUAAACGAGGAGAUAUUGACGGUAACUGAUCAGGAAGCACCGGCUAACUACGUG
rnacentral:rRNA from 1 species